GACGAACGCUGGCGGCGUGCUUAACACAUGCAAGUCGAACGAAGCUUGAUUACGGAUUCUUCGGAUGAAGUAUGAUAUGACUGAGUGGCGGACGGGCGAGUAACGCGUGAGUAACCUGCCCUUCAGAGGGGGAUAGCGUUUGGAAACGAACGGUAAUACCGCAUAAUGUAUUUUGACCGCAUGAUCGAAAUACCAAAGAUUUAUCGCUGAAGGAUGGACUCGCGUCUGAUUAGGUAGUUGGUGGGGUAACGGCCUACCAAGCCGACGAUCAGUAGCCGGACUGAGAGGUUGAUCGGCCACAUUGGGACUGAGACACGGCCCAGACUCCUACGGGAGGCAGCAGUGGGGAAUAGUGCACAAUGGGCGCAAGCCUGAUGCAGCAACGCCGCGUGAAGGAAGACGGUUUUCGGAUUGUAAACUUCUGUUCUUAGUGAAGAAUAAUGACGGUAGCUAAGGAGCAAGCCACGGCUAACUACGUG
rnacentral:rRNA from 1 species